GACGAACGCUGGCGGCGUGCUUAACACAUGCAAGUCGAGCGGUAAGGCCCUUUCGGGGGUACACGAGCGGCGAACGGGUGAGUAACACGUGGGUGACCUGCCCUCAGCUCUGGGAUAAGCCUGGGAAACCGGGUCUAAUACUGGAUAUGACUCCAUGACGCAUGUUGUGGGGUGGAAAGCCUUGUGCGGCUGAGGAUGGGCCCGCGGCCUAUCAGCUUGUUGGUGGGGUGAUGGCCUACCAAGGCGACGACGGGUAGCCGGCCUGAGAGGGCGACCGGCCACACUGGGACUGAGACACGGCCCGGACUCCUACGGGAGGCAGCAGUGGGGAAUUGUUCGCAAUGGGCGCAAGCCUGACGACGCAACGCCGCGUGGAGGAUGAAGGUCUUCGGAUUGUAAACUCCUGUUGACCGGGAAGAAUGGGCGCCGACCGAACACGUUGGCGCAAUGACGGUACCGGUUGAGGAAGCCGACGGCUAACUCUGUGCCAGCAG
rnacentral:rRNA from 1 species